GGAGAGAUGGCUCAGCAGUUAAGAGCACUGACUGCUCUUCUAGAGGACCUGGAUUUAAUUCCCAGUAUCUACA
rnacentral:tRNA from 1 species